UACGUAGGGGGCAAGCGUUGUCCGGAAUCAUUGGGCGUAAAGAGCGUGUAGGCGGCCAGAUAAGUCCGCUGUGAAAUCUCGAGGCUCAACUUCGAGCUGUCGGUGGAAACUGUCUGGCUAGAGUCCGGAAGAGGAGAAUGGAAUUCCUGGUGUAGCGGUGAAAUGCGCAGAUAUCAGGAGGAACACCGGUGGCGAAAGCGACUCUCUGGACGGCAACUGACGCUGAGGCACGAAAGCGUGGGGAGCAAACAGG
rnacentral:rRNA from 1 species